AAAAGUGCAUAUCCAUAGUCUUGUAAUUUAAGACUGGGAUGAAAGGGAUAACCUAGGGAGUUUCUUUCUUAGCUUUUCCUUUAGAAUUUUACUUUUUAGUAAAAAGGCUUAAAAUGUUCUUUUAGCAAGAAGCCCUAUAAAGCUUUACAUAUAAUAAUUUGAGAAAUUAAAGCCCAUGUUCACUGGGCGGUGGGAAGGAAAACGCUUUCAUAAUAUUUAAAUAAAAUCAUUUCCAAUACCCCAAAAAUUUUGAAGCUUAAAUAAGCUACUUUAGGGAUAACAGCCGUAAUGUGUUUUGAAAGCUCAAAUUGACAAACAUGUUUGCGACCUCGAUGUUGGAUUAAACUUCCCUCAUUCCGCAAGAGGAAGAAUUGGUCUGUCGCCCAAAAAGUCCA
rnacentral:rRNA from 1 species